AUUGAACGCUGGCGGCAGGCCUAACACAUGCAAGUCGAGCGGAGCGGCGGACGUGUGAGUAAUGCCUAUGAAUCGGCCUGGUAGUUGGGGAUCACGUACGGGAACGGGCGCUGCUACCGUAUAGUAUCAGAUGAGCCUAGGUCGGUUUAGCUAGUUGUGGGGGUAAAGGCCUACAACGGCGACGAUCCGUAACUGGUCUGAGAGGAUGAUCAGUCACACUGGAACUGAGACACGGUCCAGACUCCUACGGGAGGCAGCAGUGGGGAAUAUUGGACAAUGGGCGAAAGCCGGAUCCAGCCAUGCCGCGUGUGUGAAGAAGGUCUUCGGAUUGUAAAGCACUUUAAGUUGGGAGGCGUUACCAACAGAAUAAGCACCGGCUAACUUCGUGCCAGCAGCCGCGGUAAUUC
rnacentral:rRNA from 1 species